ensembl:lncRNA
UUUUUUUUUUUUUUUUUUUCUUCGAGACUACUCUUGUUGCCCAGGCUGGAGUGCAGUAGUACAAUCUUGGCUCACUGAAACCUCCGUCUCCUGGGUUCAAGAGAUUCUCCUGCCUCAGCCUCCCAAGUAGCUGGGACUACAGGCGCCCGCCACCACACCCGGCUAAUUUUUUGUAUUUUUUAGUAGAGACGGGGUUUCACCGUGUUAGCCAGGAUGGUCUCGAUCUCCUGACCUCGUGAUCCGCCCGUCUCAGCCUCCCAAAGUGCUGAGAUUACAGGCUUGAGCCACUGCGCCUGGCCAAAGUUUACUUCUUAAAAUAGGAAGUGCCAUAUUGCCCUCUUAAAUAAUUGUAUUAAUUUGCUUUCAGAAUUCUGAAUAUUAUUUUUGUAAUUAUUCUUUUAAAUUUCAUUUCUUUAAUUGCAUGUGACUGUAGCCAUCUUUUCAUGUUAAAAGGCAUUUAUAGAGAUAUAUAUUGUGUUUACACCCUUAAUUUAUGGUAUCAUUUCAAAUCCAUUUAUGUCAUUUAUUUUACGGAUUAGAUUCUAAAAACAGGAUUCCAUCCAAUUGUUUUAAAAAAUCUUUAUCGCUCUUUUUUUCCAUCAAAUUAAAAAAAAAAUCUUUAUCGUUCUUUUUUCGUCCCCUCCUCCUCCUGCCUCCCGAGAUGGAGUCUCGCUCUGUCUGUCACCCAGGUUUAUAUUUUACUUCAAAACAUCUCAGUUAUCUGUUUUGCCUCAUAGUUCAAACCACACUGCUUUGAUUAACGGAGCCUUUUUAGUAAAUUUUGAUCUGAAAAGGCAGAUAUUCCUUAUUUUUCUAGAAUGUCUUGGUGCCACACAGUUUUCAUACUCGUUUCUUUGUGACAUAUUUUAAGCCAUCGUUAAACGAUUAGUCAGCUGUAAUUAACUUUAAGAAGUAUUCAUUUAUAUUUUUACUUUUGUCAACUUUCUGGAGGCUGGUGUUACAUCGAGAAAUAAGGCCACACCUGCCCACAAGUUGUCCCAACCCUGAUCAAUGCCUCACUGGCGAACGAACCGAGUAUGGAUACAACGCACAAAGACAAAACUCUGUUCGGCCUCCGUAGGAAGCUGAAAUUGAGAACAGAGUACAAGAAGGGCAAUUAAGAUACCUUUAAAAACAAGACGGCCGGUGGGGACAGCAGAGUAGAAGUUAGAAAGUUGGAGGUGGCAACGUAGGUGCCCCAGCUCUAACCUAUGGGAGUCACCAGAGCAGAGGCGGAGUCCCAUGCCGGCCACACCCUCUCCGCCUCCGCAGUCCUUUUACUGGAAAACCGCAGUAAAAGGAGGAAACGCGCGGAGACGUCUUGAUCUUCCGGUCCGAGAGCUCGCUUCCUUCAAGCCUUGGCGGGGGAAGGGGGGGGUUGGAGGGGGUCUGCCUUGCCCCAACGGCCGCGCCUGACGGUCGUCCAUUGGUUGUUUGCAUUCGAACUACAUUUCCCAGGAGGCCCUGGGGUUAGACUGGCCGCAGCUGGAGAAGUGCCAGCCCGUCAUGGAUGACUGGAGCCAGCCUCUUACCUUCCGUCUUCCAGGCAGAGCCACAGAGAGACAGGCUGCAGCCGUCUGGCCUCCCUCCAGCCCUGAGAGCUCCCUGGGCCCGUCUCAAGCGUUACCGUCUCAAGCGCAGAUUGCCCGCUCUGAACGGGGAGACCAGGCUUCUGC